rnacentral:lncRNA from 2 species
GUGAACUGUCACCCCUACAACUCAGCUUGCAACCAGCCCUGGCCACCACCAGUUUCCCCA